GAGACCCACGCCAACAGUUGCCAGCAUGUCCUCCGGGAUGGUGGGGACACUGUUGGGACCGCCUCUGCUAAAGAGGAGGGAGGAAUGGGCAACGGUAGGUCAGCAUGCCCCGAAUUAUCCGGGCUACACGCGGGCUACAAUGGUCAGGACAAUGGGUAUCGACACCGAGAGGUGAAGGCAAUCUCUUAAACCUGUCCUUAGUUCGGAUUGUGGGCUGCAACUCGCCCACAUGAAGCUGGAAUCCGUAGUAAUCGCGUCUCAAAAUGGCGCGGUGAAUAU
rnacentral:rRNA from 1 species